rnacentral:lncRNA from 7 species
GUUCUGUCCAUUUAUGGGGAGAAGGGGAAGGAACCAACACUGCUUUUCUAUGCGGACUAGCCAAGUGAAAAAGGAAAAAUACCAUGCAGCAAAGCAAGUUAAAUUCUGGACAGUUAUAACCCAGGAAACAAAUUAGAGCAGUCUUUCACAGGCACUUCUUUAGCAAACACUACACCUGUUUAUUGCUCAAACAUUGCUGUCAGCUUCAGGAACUGCCUUUCAACAGCUUCGGUAAAAUGUGGAAAGCAUUCUAGUUAAGGAUUCAAAUCAGAGAUUAUUUAGUGACUUCCAGAAGAGAGCAUAGAUAUCCAAAGUCACGUAGAUCCAGCAUAAAGAAGAGAUAAGAAGGAAUGUGGAAGGGUAGAUUUAUUUUUUAAAUUUCAUUUUAACUUGAAACAUGGAGUCCAAGUCCUAUGGAAUGCCAGAAUAGUCCUUUUCUUCAUGGCCACAAAAUGUAGCUUACUUGGUUAAAAUUAGGAGUCUGAAAAAAUCAAAAUGAAUUGUGGACCUGACAUGCUAUCUGCUGUAGGCCUUAACAUUGGUCUAAAAUUUCUCAUGAUUACUUCCCUGAAUUAGUUCCCAUAGGAGAAAAUAAAAUUCU